rnacentral:rRNA from 1 species
GACGAACGCUGGCGGCGUGCCUAACACAUGCAAGUCGAGCGAAGUUAUUCCUUCGGGAAUAACUUAGCGGCGGACGGGUGAGUAACACGUGGGUAACCUGCCUUAUAGAGGGGGAUAGCCUUCCGAAAGGAAGAUUAAUACCGCAUAACAUUGAGCUUUCGCAUGGAAGCUUAAUCAAAGGAGUAAUCCGCUAUAAGAUGGACCCGCGGCGCAUUAGCUAGUUGGUGAGGUAACGGCUCACCAAGGCGACGAUGCGUAGCCGACCUGAGAGGGUGAUCGGCCACAUUGGGACUGAGACACGGCCCAGACUCCUACGGGAGGCAGCAGUGGGGAAUAUUGCACAAUGGGGGAAACCUUGAUGCAGCAACGCCGCGUGAGUGAUGAAGGCCUUCGGGUUGUGAAGCUCUGUCUUUGGGGACGAUAAUGACGGUACCCAAGGAGGAAGCCACGGCUAACUACGUGCCAGCAGCCGCCGUAA